AGCUAAUACCGCAUAACGUCGCAAGACCAAAGAGGGGGACCUUCGGGCCUCUUGCCAUCGGAUGUGCCCAGAUGGGAUUAGCUAGUAGGUGGGGUAACGGCUCACCUAGGCGACGAUCCCUAGCUGGUCUGAGAGGAUGACCAGCCACACUGGAACUGAGACACGGUCCAGACUCCUACGGGAGGCAGCAGUGGGGAAUAUUGCACAAUGGGCGCAAGCCUGAUGCAGCCAUGCCGCGUGUAUGAAGAAGGCCUUCGGGUUGUAAAGUACUUUCAGCGGGGAGGAA
rnacentral:rRNA from 1 species